rnacentral:rRNA from 1 species
UACGAAGGGGGCGAGCGUUGUUCGGAUUUACUGGGCGUAAAGGGCGCGCAGGCGGCUUAUUUUGUCAGGCGUGAAAGCCCCGGGCUUAACCUGGGAAUGGCAUUUGGGACUGCAAGGCUGGAGUGUGGCAGAGGAGACUGGAAUUCCUGGUGUAGCAGUGAAAUGCGUAGAUAUCAGGAGGAAUACCGAUGGCGAAGGCAGGUCUCUGGGCUGACACUGACGCUCAUGCACGAAAGCGUGGGGAGCAAACAGG